ensembl:lncRNA
GGAGCACCUCACCUACGAAGGGACGCUGAGGGAGCUGGGCUUUUUCAGCCUGGAGACGAGAAUGCGAGAGGUUCUUCUACUCUGCAAAAAACUCAGCAGGUCGCGGUGUUGGGUACAUUAUCAUCGCUGCAGGUUGGGCACAGAGAAUAACAUGAAGAUAGAACUUCCAGAAUCUCUUCUGCCUCAGAGGCUGAGUUCUGCAGACUUCUGAAGGUGGGAGCUCUGCAUUGGGCCAAGAGAACUCUGAGGAUCUCGGAAGCAAAAACAAGACCUUUGGUUGCUGGGAACUUAUUAAAAGAGAAAUCUGUAGCCUGCUGCCCUUGACCUCAUGUACAUUAUCUCCCGUCUUCCAAAAACUAUUGGUGUUUCUUGCCAAGAUUUUGUCCUCAGAGGAAUAGGAAGUGACUUGCUUAUGGAACAGCUGGAACUUAGUGGUUUUUAUUAGUUUAUAAACCUUUUUUAACCACUUUGCUUGUGCGGUGUUGUACUGAGUCAUGCUGGUGAGCUUCUGCUGCCAUAUCCUUGCAAUACUCUUAUGUACAUCCUGUAACAAGGACUUACAGUGAGAGCUGCUACAAGUUCACCAUCCGGUGCAAUUUUAAUGGGAGAAGUCACAAGAAGGUAGCUUGCAAGACUAAUAGAGCAUAUGUACAAGAAGAUACAUAGGCAAAAAGUCAGGAUGAUGAGUAGUGACACAUCCACGUGUAAAGAGCAAGUAACAGUAUACAAGGAAGUAACACCUGGAGCUGUAAGGACUAGACAGGUACAGGCUACAUUGUGAGACUGCUCAAAAGAUCAAGGAGUGCAGUUGGUGAGCCAGUACACCAGCCUGGAGUGGGAAGGUGUGUACACAAAUGUGAGGACUGCUCUGAAAAUAACGCCCCCUAUUUUAUUAUGUUUGCCCACAACCCCAGAGGCAGAUGUUGGUGGAAUGGCAGUAGGACUUGAACCUUCCCACCAAUAUUUCAUUACAAGUUUUUGCUGUGUGACUGAUGGCAGCAGAGGGGAAGUUUGAGAAAAUGGUGUCUGACAUGGAAGUGAAUAAAAAGCAAAGGUGUGGGACUGAAUUACUCCAAACAGAAAAAAUUACACCCAUUGGC